UCCUACGGGAGGCUGCAGUGGGGGAUAUUGCACAAUGGGGGAAACCCUGAUGCAGCGACGCCGCGUGUGGGAAGACGGUCUUCUGGAUUGUAAACCACUGUCCCCAGGGACGAAAAUGACGGUACCUGGGGAGGAAGCUCCGGCUAACUACGUGCCAGCAGCCGCGGUAAUACGUAGGGAGCAAGCGUUAUCCGGAUUUACUGGGUGUAAAGGGCGUGUAGGCGGGCAUGCAAGCCAGAAGUGAAAUCUGGGGGCUUAACCCCCAAACUGCUUUUGGAACUGCGUGUCUUGAGUGAUGGAGAGGCAGGCGGAAUUCCCAGUGUAGCGGUGAAAUGCGUAGAUAUUGGGAGGAACACCAGUGGCGAAGGCGGCCUGCUGGACAUUAACUGACGCUGAGGCGCGAAAGCGUGGGGAGCAAACAGGAUUAGAUACCC
rnacentral:rRNA from 1 species